rnacentral:rRNA from 1 species
CAAUAGCGUAUAUUAAAGUUGUUGCAGUUAAAAAGCUCGUAGUUGGAUUUGUGGCGUACGGUGUGUUCCGGGCACUUGUUGUCUGAGUAACCUGCUGUUGCCAUCCUUGGGUGGAACCUGUGUGGCAUUAGGUUGUCGUGCAGGGGAUGCCCAUCAUUUACUGUGAAAAAAUUAGAGUGUUCAAAGCAGGCUUAUGCCGUUGAAUAUAUUAGCAUGGAAUAAUGAGAUAGGACUUUUUUGCUAUUUUGUUGGUUUGCGCAAGAAGGUAAUGAUUAAUAGGGACAGUUGGGGGUAUUCGUAUUCCAUUGUCAGAGGUGAAAUGCUUGGAUUUUUGGAAGACGAACUACUGCGAAAGCAUUUACCAAGGAUGUUUUCAUUAA